rnacentral:rRNA from 1 species
AUAUUGGACAAUGGGCGAAAGCCUGAUCCAGCAAUGCCGCGUGAGUGAAGAAGGCCUUCGGGUUGUAAAGCUCUUUUACCCGGGAAGAUAAUGACUGUACCGGGAGAAUAAGCCCCGGCUAACUCCGUGCCAGCAGCCGCGGUAAUACGGAGGGGGCUAGCGUUGUUCGGAAUUACUGGGCGUAAAGCGCACGUAGGCGGCUUUCCAAGUCAGGGGUGAAAGCCCGCGGCUCAACCGCGGAAUUGCCCUUGAGACUGGAUCGCUUGAACACGGGAGAGGUGAGUGGAAUUCCGAGUGUAGAGGUGAAAUUCGUAGAUAUUCGGAAGAACACCAGUGGCGAAGGCGGCUCACUGGACCGUAGUUGACGCUGAGGUGCGAAAGCGUGGGGAGCAAACAGGA